ensembl:lncRNA
GUGCACCAGGUGGGAGAGGAGAACAAGACUUCACCGCAUUGGGUUUCAUUCUGCGGCGCGCUUUUGUGAUGCUGCUGAGAAAAGAAAGGAGGAAGGGUAAGGGAGAAAGGCGGAGGGGCUGGGCGGCCAGGGGCGGCCGCGCCGGCGUCUCCCUCGGCUCUGCCCUGCCAGACCCGCUCCCAGAUUCCCGGCCUGCCGGCCGCUCCCAGCCCGGGCUUCCCCGCCGCCUCCUUGCCCAGGCGCCUUCCCGGGGAACCCCGCCGGCUGCCGCGCGCCGAGCCGGGGAAUCCCGGCAAACUCCCUCCCGCUCCCGGGGGUCCAAGCCCCUGCCUGGGCGGGCACCUGCACCGCAGCGCGGACUCGCACCGACACACGGAUCCCGGCAGGGAGCUCUGGGAGCCGGCGUGGGAUCCCAGGGACACCCCCCUGCGCGCACACAUACACACAGCCCGCGGGAGGACAGGACCGCCGGGGACAGCUCGCGGCGCUGCCGGGGCGCACGAGCCGCAGCUACUCACUCGCGAGUCUGUCGACAGACGCGCCUGGAGAGGAGCGGCAGAGGGCGCAGGCGCGCGGCCCCCGCCCGGCCCAGCCCGGUCCACAGGCAGCUAGCCAUCCCGCUGCCCUUCACCUGAGCGGCGGCGGAAGGCGAGGAGCCACGAGGGAGCAGGUCUCCAAAACAGUGAGCUGCUAAAGCAGAGAGGCUGCUCUGAAUUUAAAAAGUUAUUUCUGUUCGUUUAUUCCUUGCCAUGGGCACCCACAGUGUCUCAGGAACCAUAGUAGGUUCUGGGGACUAAAGAUGCGUCGGACAGGAUCCUUGGACUGAAGAAACUGCCGUCUUGUGAAAGAAACACCCCUGUAAGUAGCCUAAAACAACGCAGUACAUUCUAUGCAGGGUGCCACUGGAGAACCUAAUAUCCGUGAACCUGUUAUAUCUUCACCUCCAGGCAGAAGGAAAGGCAUGUGCAAGAGCACAGGGACAUGGUGCUGCCAUUAACAGGUAGAUGAGUUGCAGGGAGAUUGCAGGGAUGGGGCAGAGGACCGGACUGCAAGAGCGUCAGAGUAGGAAACGUCAGCAAGGGCUCCAUAGGUUGUGUGCUAUGAGCACUGAAGGACAGUGACAUUCUGACUUGCUCAUCAGAAAGCUGGUUCUGCAAUGGUGGGUGAGAGGAGGCCACACUGUGAGAGUGGAGACAAGUGAGCCGGGCAGUGUCUGAGCAAAAUGUGAUGAGGCAGUGUGAGGGGGCAUGGAGAGGCAGGAGCUGAUGGCAAACACAUUGAGAAGGUAGAAGUGGCCAGACUUGGAAGCUGAUGUAAUCUGGAGGGUGAGAAAAUGGACCGAUACAGGAUGUCUCUCAAGUUUCACACCUGCCCGGGUGGAUGAUGGCCCAUAAAAACACAAGAGGGGAAACAUGCUCUUGGGGGGAAGAUGUUCUCAUUUUAGAUGCAUUCACUUUGAAAUGCCUUUAGGACAUCCAGGCAUACGUGUCCAUAAGUCAUUGGAUAGAGGUCACACAGGAAGUUUGAACUAGGUAUAUGGAUUAGGAGUCAUCAGCCCAAAGGUGGCCUGGGAUGAUAAGGAAGAUCACACAAACUGAGGAGAGAAAGACUAAGGACAGGGCUCUAGAGACACCACAACCUAAGAAAAGGAGAGGGAAAAAGCUAAGGAGGGAGACUAGAAGCAAUGGUCAAAGAAGUGUGCAAAGAAUCAGAAGAGAGUGAAGGUCACAGGAGCCAAAGGAGCAGAAAACUUUACAAAGGGAGUGGUCAGAGACCUAAAAG